GAACUGCGAUAAGUAAUGUGAAUUGCAGAAUUCAGUGAAUCAUCGAGUCUUUGAACGCACAUUGCGCCCCCUGGCAUUCCGGGGGGCAUGCCUGUCCGAGCGUCAUUGCUGCCCUUCAAGCCCGGCUUGUGUGUUGGGUCGUCGUCCCCUCCGGGGGACGGGCCCGAAAGGCAGCGGCGGCACCGCGUCCGGUCCUCGAGCGUAUGGGGCUUUGUCACCCGCUCUAUAAGGACCGGCCGGGCGCCAGCCGGCGUCUCCAACCUUUUUUUCUCAGGUUGACCUCGGAUCAGGUAGGGAUACCCGCUGAACUUAAGC
rnacentral:misc_RNA from 1 species